rnacentral:lncRNA from 1 species
AACCACCACCUGGGAUAUGCCGCAGGUCCUCAGGAGGCAUCCCUGCGGAGGGGAAACCAAAGGAAGAGGAGGCUUUGCCACCUCUCGCCCAGGGCAAGAAAGUGAGAUUUGCUGGCAAGCCAACCUACAUCAAACGCUUGAGCUCGGACAGUCUAGAUGGAGGAAAACUCCGAAGGAUAAGGAGCUUACUGCGCAAGGAGAGCUCUACGUCCAGGUGAGGCUGGAGGCUCUGGCUUGGCAUGUGCAUGGGGGUGAUUGACUGAGCCAACGAGAGUCCAUUCCCUAGCCCCAAAGGGUCCCUGUUUCUG